GCCUGGGUGGCUCAGUGGUUGAGCAUCUGCCUUCAGCAGGGGUCGUGGGAUCGAGUCCCACACUGGGGCU
rnacentral:tRNA from 1 species